UAGAAAUGUCCAUGUGUACCCUGCCC
rnacentral:piRNA from 1 species